GACGAACGCUGGCGGCGUGCUUAACACAUGCAAGUCGAGCGAUGAAAGCCUUAUGAACUAUUCGUAGUGAUUGGGGCCGGAUUAGCGGCGGACGGGUGAGUAACGCGUGAGCAACCUGCCUUAAACAACGGGAUAGCCUCGGGAAACCGGGAUUAAUACCGUAUGAGACCCCGCCUUCACAUGAAGAAGAGGUUAAAGAUUUAUCGGUUUAAGAUGGGCUCGCGUCUGAUUAGCUAGUUGGGGAGAUAAAAGCCCACAAAGGCAACGAUCAGUAACCGGCUUGAGAGAGUGAACGGUCACAUUGGAACUGAGACACGGUCCAAACUCCUACGGGAGGCAGCAGUGGGGAAUAUUGCACAAUGGGGGAAACCCUGAUGCAGCGACGCCGCGUGAGCGAUGAAGGAAUUCGUUUCGUAAAGCUCUGUCCAAGGGGAAGAUAAUGACAGUACCCUUGGAGGAAGCCCCGGCUAAAUACGUGCCAGCCGCCGCCGUAAUAC
rnacentral:rRNA from 1 species